rnacentral:tRNA from 1 species
UCCCUGGUGGCUCAGAUGACAAAGUGCCUGCCUGAAAUGUGGGAGAUCCAGGUUCAAUUCCUGGGUUGGGAA